rnacentral:snRNA from 1 species
GUGCUCACUUCAGCAGCACAUAUACUAAAAUUGGAACAACACAGAGAAGAUUAGCAUGGCCCCUGCACAAAGAUGACAUGCAAGUUCGUGAAGCAUUUCAUAUUUUU